AACGAACGCUGGCGGUGUGCUUAACACAUGCAAGUCGAACGAGAAAGUUUCCUUCGGGAAGCGAGUAAAGUGGCGCAAGGGUGAGUAACACGUGAAUAAUCUACCCCCGAGACUGGGAUAACCUGGUGAAAACUAGGCUAAUACCGGAUAAGACCACGUCCCGCAAGGGAUGCGGGAAAAGGAGGCUCAACCUCCACUUGGAGAUGAGUUCGCGGACCAUUAGCUUGUUGGUGAGAUAACAGCUCACCAAGGCUACGAUGGUUAGCCGGCCUGAGAGGGUGAACGGCCACACUGGAACUGAGACACGGUCCAGACUCCUACGGGAGGCAGCAGUAGGGAAUAUUGCGCAAUGGGGGAAACCCUGACGCAGCAAUGCCGCGUGAGUGAAG
rnacentral:rRNA from 1 species